ACAUUAUCGGUCUUACUAAUAAAAAAUCACUAUACAUGCGUUAUGACAAGGUGAUAGUAAUUCAGUGAAUAGAGCUUGUACAGGGCAUAAACUCCUCUUUGACCAAUAAUCGAUGUGUAUUGGUUGAAUAACAAAACGACCCUUAUUUAUUGUUACCCUGGCAACCCGCCGUGUUUGAUUGACGUUUGAUUUAAUAAUUUUGAUACGACUCAUAAUUCUAAUGUAAGUUGUAUUUAUUUUAUCAACCAAAGCAAUUAUAUACACAUUUACUCAAUAUACUAAUAACAUUUUAUUAUUUGCAGCUAAUAGAAACUCCAAAACCUCAGACAAAGAGGACUAGAAUUUUACAUAAAAAGCCGCGUUCUGCAGUACAAAAGUUAGAAGAGGCAUCUCAAAUAGUGGAAAGUGCCAAACUCCGCAACACGGUAGUGUUCCAGUGUUUCCAGGAAGAGCACGAAACAAAACAAAGGCAGAUGGCUGAAACACAUGAGCUCAAACAGAAGCGACUCGCCGAAGCUCACGAAAGGGCUAGACAGAAGCAUCUUCUAAGGCUCAAAUUGUUACAGCAGCAAUUAAAUAAAUAAUUAUAUACUUAUAAAAAAAAUAAAACCCCCGUUUUAAAUGAAA